rnacentral:rRNA from 1 species
GAUAAGUAAUGUGAAUUGCAGAAUUCAGUGAAUCAUCGAAUCUUUGAACGCACAUUGCGCCCGCCAGUACUCUGGCGGGCAUGCCUGUUCGAGCGUCAUUUCAACCCUCAAGCCCUGCUUGGUGUUGGGGUCCUACGGCUGCCGUAGGCCCUGAAAGCUAGUGGCGGGCUCGCUAUAACUCCGAGCGUAGUAGUAAAAUAUCUCGCUAGGGAGGUGUCGCGGGUUCCGGCCGUGAAAGCCCAUCUUUUACACAAGGUUGACCUCGGAUCAGGUAGGAAUACCCGCUGAACUUAAGCAUAUCAAUAAGCGGAGGAAAAGAAACCAACAGGGAUUGCCCCAGUAACGGCGAGUGAAGCGGCAACAGCUCAAAUUUGAAAUCUGGCUUCGGCCCGAGUUGUAAUUUGUAGAGGAUGCUUUUGGUGAGGUGCCUUCUGAGUUCCCUGGAACGGGACGCCAGAGAGGGUGAGAGCCCCGUAUAGUUGGACACCGAGCCUCUGUAAAGCUCCUUCGACGAGUCGAGUAGUUUGGGAAUGCUGCUCAAAAUGGGAGGUAUAUCUCUUCUAAAGCUAAAUACUGGCCAGAGACCGAUAGCGCACAAGUAGAGUGAUCGAAAGAUGAAAAGCACUUUGAAAAGAGGGUUAAAUAGUACGUGAAAUUGUUGAAAGGGAAGCGCUUGUGACCAGACUUGUGCCCGGCUGAUCAU